rnacentral:rRNA from 1 species
AUGGCUGAGCAGGCAAGAGCAGAUUUUGCAACAAAGCUCUCACUACGGAAAUUCAUGGCGACGGCGCAGCGUGUAACUCUAGAUCAAAGGCAGCUUGCCCGUAGCAUGGGCCUGGAUCAUCUGCUUGACCUAAAAUGUGAUACUCUGCCGCGCGGUGUCGUUCAUUAUCUGGCAUCAAACUUUGAUGUACCCUCAAGGGCUAUUGAACUCCCCAAUGGGUUCAAGUUCACAAUCACACCCUACUGCAUACACCAGGUCCUGGGGAUACCACUUGGCAGCAGAACCAUAGAGAAGAAGCAAAACCCAGCACUUAGAUCACUGAUUGCUCAACAGACAAAAUGCAAAGGAAACUACCCAACCAUAAACGAGCUGGAUAACUUGAUACAACCUGGGCUAGAUGGAGAUUCAUUCAAAAGGAUUUUCACAAUGUAUGCGCUCACCGUGCUCCUCUGCCCUUCAAGCCAUGGGGCUGCUAGUCCAGAUUACUACCACAUUCUGGAAGACCCUGAACAGAUUGGCUCAUUCGACUUCUGCAUGGCUGUCCUUGACAAGCUUGUGGCGUCAAUUGAUAGCUACAAGGCUGGAGCCACAACGGUGCUCGGCGGGGAUAUCUUAACACUCAGGAUCAUAUACUUUGAAUUUCUUGACACCGACAUCAUGCCGGUCACAAGCAAGCGGCCACGGAUUUCACUUUGGACGUCUGAAAUUGUAGCAGAAUAUGAAAGGCGGGACUGCACAAGCAGCGAUAAAUUGCUUUACGGCAAGCUCCCGACAAAGCGUGUCUCGGAAACACCCUUCGGUCAAAUCAACAGACAGCCAAAAGUCACACUAGGUGCCUCGUAUGAUGAACUCCUGCAGUUCACCCUCUCAAUUGUUCCAGAGGAAAACCACCAGAUGGUUUUAGACGAGCUUCCAAAGAUUAUGCAUAGCAUGCAGAGCGAGCUUUUUGAUUCAAUGCAAAAUGUACUCGCCAAGAACUUUAUGAACCUGCUGAAACUGAUGUCGUCAAUGCAUUCUUCAUCACCUAGCAAAAAACAGAAUAGCACAGACAAAGAUUCAAGUUGCGUGCCCAUUUCAGAGGCUCCGACGGUUCCUUGUGGUAGCCACUCCAGCUUGCAAAUGACAAGUACCACACUGGCUGAAAGAAAACAGGAUAAGCCUGAAGCAAAAACAGGGGCAGAAUGUGGCUCAGGGCAGGAAACAGAGCACGUUUUUACAGCUGAAGAAACAAAGCCAUUGUCUGAAGUACAAAGGAAGAACAACAAAGCCCCCGUACCCGUGCUCUUGAGUUUUGAGGAUACAAGUGAUGAAGUUUUGGCGGAAUGGGACAAACAAGCAUGUGCCAAUGCCAGGGUACCCAACGUUGAAAGCCUACUUCGAAUAAUUGACACAAUACCAAUUUCGACCGACCCAGACCUGCCGCGCUGCACGGAAGCAUUGGAGGGGAUGUACCCACAGAAGGUGCAGGUUGGAGAUACCGAGGCUGAACCUACCCACACUUUUAGCUUGCUUUCUUAUGUUCUUGACGAGAAAGCAUUUUGGCACCGACCGCUGAGUCCACGAGAGCCAGAUUUAUUAACCUGCAGGGAGCUCAAUCUGUUUGAAGAAUGGAAGGUCUCUACCAAGGUUGAUGGUAGUGAAGGUCCAACCAGCAGUGACCCUAUCAGGACGACAGAGGACAUCACUAAUAGAAACAAAAGGACGACAUGCAUGUCCUUAAACGAGACGGCUGACAACUGCGUUGCUUUGAAAAAAAGGGCAAGGAUGUUUCAGAACAUAGAUGAGCUGUCGAGCAAAAUUCAUCAUGAGAUGCCACACACUUUAGGAACUGUAAGCGCAUCAUCACACCAGAAAGAUCAGUCAUCAAGCGACGCUAAUCUUGGUCAGAUCCAACAAACACCGGUCCAUGGCACCUCUUCAGCUACCAACAAAGACUUCCCAUGGGACGACCCUGAUAUGGUAGCGCAGUUGAUCGAGUCUACCGAUAGGAUUGAGGAAUUGUGGUUUUCACAACAAAGACAAACUCAGUAUACCACAUCAGUUACACAAGACAUCCACAUAUCAGAGAUCAAGCCCAAUGAGAUUUGUUGCAAUUUCACCUCAAAUCCAGUCGAAAGUGCUGUUUUCAGCGACAUUGUGUCACGAAUACCACCUCAUUCAAGGCAAAAGAGCCCAAGAAUAGUACAAAUGGGCUCGACAUGGGUUGAACAUAGGGUUUUUGGCCUGAGCAUGCAAGUGUAUGGCCGGGUCAAUAAGUACGUGAUCAAUAUGUUGGGAAAAGCAGUAAUGGCCGAGCAAACCGAAAAGGAUAGGCUCAAUCUUCUCCCGCGAAGUUACUGGUCAAGAUACUAUGUCGAAUGCGACAAUGCUAAAUUAUUCCAAAAUGCAUUUGAAACUCCAUUGGCGUUAUCUGUUCACCUGAGGGAGACAAUGAUAGGAUUCCAUCUUGACCGAAUUCACAUGGUGUUUUUACCUUUAAGCUCAUACAGUUUCUGGUACACGGUUGUUGCUAACUUUAGGAAGAAAUUGUUCGAAGUCCUCUGCCCAAACAACAGAAUCGACUUGAUUGCUGACGAAGCUCAGCUUGUAAUCAAGAAUUUCAAAGCGGCUUUCAAGCUGGCAUACAAGAGAUCACAACUAAAUGUGACUGACAUGGGUGUGUCUUUCCGGAGUGUGUGCUCUUCAACUAAAGAGGCAGACAGUGGGAUCUUCACAAUGAAGUUGGUACAAGGACAUGAUGGAGACAACACUUUGUGUUUCGAACCCGAGCAUGCAAAGAGCCUGCGCGAGAGUCUAACUUACUACAUGGUUGCUCACCCUUGCAAUGAAAAACUGAUGCCAGAAACCAAAGAAAUCUUAAGAAAAUAUGGUGUUCCAUUUGACUACUCGACUCCAGGGUAUUCUCCAUGGGGUCCUGUUGCAGAACAAUGUUAA